UAUUAAAGAUUCAACGUCUUUUUGAUGGA
rnacentral:sRNA from 1 species